rnacentral:lncRNA from 1 species
UUAAGAUAAACCAUUCACAAAAAGCAGCUAAAUAACUAACUGCAGAGGCAUCGAAAAUUUCAAGAAACUAAUUAUCAUUUUGAAACAUUAUGCAACACAUGUUUGAUUCGAUAAAUUAACAUGUUGAUUUUCAAUAUCACAUAGAUUUUUUUAUUUAUAUAAAUAAAUCUUUAAUUUUUUUUAAAGAGAUAGAAAAUUAAAUUCAAGAUAAAGAAAGUUCUAAUCAAUUCAAAUUAAACAAAACUAUAAAUUACAAUGGAUAGAAAUUAAACUAAAUUCAAAACACAUAAUUAUCCAUAAAGAAGUCUUUUACAAUUAAUUUAUUAAAAAUUAUUAUCAGAACCAUGAACACAAUACAAAUGACACACUCGAAGUAUUUUCCAACAAUGAGAAGACGAUUAAUACCGGACGCAGAAGUACUGGAUCCUCGGAUUUUG